rnacentral:misc_RNA from 2 species
AAGUCGUAACAAGGUUUCCGUAGGUGAACCUGCGGAAGGAUCAUUACAUUCAGUAGCCUAGCUACUUGUUUAUACCCUUGUUUUUUGCGUACCUAUUGUUUCCUCGGUGGGCUUGCCUGCCGGUUGGACAACACUAUAACCUUUUUAAAUCUUCAAUCAGCGUCUGAAUUAUACAUAAUAAUUACAACUUUCAACAACGGAUCUCUUGGUUCUG